UACGGGGGGGGCGAAGCGUUGUUCGGAAUUACUGGGCGUAAAGGGUUUGUAGGUGGCUCGCUAAGUCACACGUGAAAUCCCUCAGCUUAACUGGGGAACUGCGUGUGAGACUGGCAGCUCGAGUGCAGGAGAGGAAGUGCGGAAUUCCAGGUGUAGCGGUGAAAUGCGUAGAUAUCUGGAGGAACACCGGUGGCGAAGGCGGCAUUCUGGACUGCAACUGACGCUGAAAACGAAAGCCAGGGAGCAACGGG
rnacentral:rRNA from 1 species